GCCUUUGCUUACCUUAACGUUUAAUCUUAUGAUUUCCCCCUCCCCCCGCCCUCUUUGAAAUGGAUUGGGGGACAGAGAUUAUCAUCCUUAUUUGAUAUACGGGGAAACUGAGGCCCAGAGAGGGUCAGUGUCUUUUCCAAAGUGAAACAGUGCCUCAGUAAAGGAGUCAGAAGUAGAACUGAUGAAUGUAUUUUUAGCACGCGGCCCCCUCGGAAAGGGGAGAGCACUCCCUCCUGUUCCCUCGAGAGAAGCGGCGUGACUUAGUGGCUAGAGCCCGGGCCUGGGAGUCAGAAGGACCUGGGUUCUAAUCCCAGCUCCGCCACUUGUCCGCUGUGUGACCUUGGGCAAGUCAGUUCACUUCUCCGUGCCUCAGUUACCUCAUCUGAAAAAUGGGGAUUAAGAUCGAGAGCCGCACGAGGGAUGUGGACUGUGUCCAACCCAAUUAGCUUGUAUCUACCCCGGCACUUAGAACGGUGCGUGGCGCAGGGUAGGUGCUACCCAAAUACCAUUUUGAUCAUUCUUAUGGAUCCCCAGAGCAGCUAUCCAGGCUUCUCUCAUUCUGGCAUCAAGGUGGAAAAUCCGACCGAGCGUGCCUAGAGGAGAGCCGAGGCCCAGAGGACGUGGCUAAUGAUGAGACUUCGGCUGAUGGAUCCCCUCGGUCGGUUCUUUCCUUCUGGGCUCCUCCAGCAGCUCUGAGGCCCGAGGAGGAGUGUUCAUUCAGACUUUCUGAAAAGAGCUGGAGAGACAGAGAGGGAGAAUCAAGGAAAGAAGAGGUUCCUGAAUCCGGCUGGGAGAUUAGUUCCACGGCUCUCAGCAACAUGGAUCUCCACGCUCAUCGAGGUUUUUCCGACGUGCCCUGAUGCCAGAGUGACGGCCGGCCCGCUCUCUCUCCGUGCCCACCGCAAGCGUCCACCCGACCGCCCUCCCCGCCGCCCCUCCAGACCCCCUAAG
rnacentral:lncRNA from 1 species